rnacentral:lncRNA from 1 species
GCUAGAAUUUUAUUUUUAGAGACAUCUAGAUCUGCUGGUGGUUGCCAUGGAUAUUUCCAGCAGAAUUUAGCACUUUAGGGAGCUUAUAAUCAUCACAUAAUUGGGGAAGGAAAGGGUUCAGGAAGAUCUCCUGCUGACAUAAAAAGGCUCUAUUGUUUGUCCUUAAAAGGAGACUCUCCUGUGGGUCCUCUUCUGCAGCCACUUACACCAGAAGUAUGCAUGAGAGGUUCAUGACCAGUUAGCUUACUUCAUUACA